AACGAACGCUGGCGGCAUGCCUAACACAUGCAAGUCGAACGAGACCUUCGGGUCUAGUGGCGCACGGGUGCGUAACGCGUGGGAACCUGCCCUUAGGUUCGGAAUAACUCCCCGAAAGGGGUGCUAAUACCGGAUAAUGUCUUCGGACCAAAGAUUUAUCGCCUUUGGAUGGGCCCGCGUUGGAUUAGCUAGUUGGUAGGGUAAAAGCCUACCAAGGCGACGAUCCAUAGCUGGUCUGAGAGGAUGAUCAGCCACACUGGGACUGAGACACGGCCCAGACCCCCAGGGGGGGGAGAAGUGGGGAAUUUUGAAAAAUGGGGGAAAGCCGAACCCAGCAAGGCCGGGUGAGUGAGGAAGGCCUUAGGUUUAAAAAGCUUUUUUACCCGGAAUGAAAAUACCGGAACCAGGAAGAAAAGCCCCGGCAAACACCGU
rnacentral:rRNA from 1 species